rnacentral:rRNA from 1 species
GAUGAACGCUGGCGGCGUGCCUAAUACAUGCAAGUCGAGCGAACGGACGAGAAGCUUGCUUCUCUGAUGUUAGCGGCGGACGGGUGAGUAACACGUGGAUAACCUACCUAUAAGACUGGGAUAACUUCGGGAAACCGGAGCUAAUACCGGAUAAUAUUUUGAUCUGCAUGGUUCAAAAGUAAAAGACGGUCUUGCUGUCACUUAUAGAUGGAUCCGCGCUGCAUUAGCUAGUUGGUAAGGUAACGGCUUACCAAGGCAACGAUGCAUAGCCGACCUGAGAGGGUGAUCGGCCACACUGGAACUGAGACACGGUCCAGACUCCUACGGGAGGCAGCAGUAGGGAAUCUUCCGCAAUGGGCGAAAGCCUGACGGAGCAACGCCGCGUGAGUGAUGAAGGUCUUCGGAUCGUAAAACUCUGUUAUUAGGGAAGAACAUAUGUGUAAGUAACUGUGCACAUCUUGACGGUACCUAAUCAGAAAGCCACGGCUAACUACGUGCCAGCAGCCGCGGUAAUACGUAGGUGGCAAGCGUUAUCCGGAAUUAUUGGGCGUAAAGCGCGCGUAGGCGGUUUUUUAAGUCUGAUGUGAAAGCCCACGGCUCAACCGUGGAGGGUCAUUGGAAACUGGAAAACUUGAGUGCAGAAGAGGAAAGUGGAAUUCCAUGUGUAGCGGUGAAAUGCGCAGAGAUAUGGAGGAACACCAGUGGCGAAGGCGACUUUCUGGUCUGUAACUGACGCUGAUGUGCGAAAGCGUGGGGAUCAAACAGGAUUAGAUACCCUGGUAGUCCACGCCGUAAACGAUGAGUGCUAAGUGUUAGGGGGUUUCCGCCCCUUAGUGCUGCAGCUAACGCAUUAAGCACCCCGCCUGGGGAGUACGACCGCAAGGUUGAAACUCAAAGGAAUUGACGGGGACCCGCACAAGCGGUGGAGCAUGUGGUUUAAUUCGAAGCAACGCGAAGAACCUUACCAAAUCUUGACAUCCUUUGACAACUCUAGAGAUAGAGCCUUCCCCUUCGGGGGACAAAGUGACAGGUGGUGCAUGGUUGUCGUCAGCUCGUGUCGUGAGAUGUUGGGUUAAGUCCCGCAACGAGCGCAACCCUUAAGCUUAGUUGCCAUCAUUAAGUUGGGCACUCUAAGUUGACUGCCGGUGACAAACCGGAGGAAGGUGGGGAUGACGUCAAAUCAUCAUGCCCCUUAUGAUUUGGGCUACACACGUGCUACAAUGGACAAUACAAAGGGCAGCGAAACCGCGAGGUCAAGCAAAUCCCAUAAAGUUGUUCUCAGUUCGGAUUGUAGUCUGCAACUCGACUACAUGAAGCUGGAAUCGCUAGUAAUCGUAGAUCAGCAUGCUACGGUGAAUACGUUCCCGGGUCU